AGACUGCGGCACAGCUCCUCGCAACCAUGCAAAGCUGCUAGCUACCAUUUCUCAAGCAACACAUCCAGCCGCUAAUUCUGCAGAUGUGCAGAGGCCAAGCUGAUCAGGGUUUCCGCUCAAUGCAACCUGCUUAGGAAGAGAAGCGCAGAGGAGCCUUGAUGAUCUUUGCAAUGACUACUGUGAAGAUGACCAACAGUGAACUGUCGUCAGUUGUGCUACAGAAUAUUAGAAGUUCUCACUCUUACCCAGCUGUACCCUUCUACCCCUACCUAUUCUUUCUCCACUCCAAAUGCCCUUUGGUAAUCUUUUCAAGUAUAAAAACCAUGAUUCAUAGUCAACUAAGGUCACUGUCCUCUGCAUCGUGUCUAACCUCAAGACAAAAAUAGUAA
rnacentral:lncRNA from 1 species